GUUAGUGGCAAUAAUUGGCUCUAAUGAGCGUAAAUCAGAGUUAUAGUUUAAAGUGUAUCGAUACCUGUGAGAGUGGGGAAAUUUACACCCCAGUGUAUCAUAGUAUUAUAUUAAUACCUAUAUGCAAGUUGGUUAGGUUGAUGUGGAGAGGAGCAAUUAGAUUUGAGAGCCCUCUCACUUCUGUAUGUACAGUAUUUAGUUUUGUAUUUUGAUGAGUCAAUGUCACUAGUUGUGUUUCAUUUGUAAUCAUCAAUGGCCCCUGUACCUAAAUUAUUAUAACUGCCUCCUUGUGUCUACAAUGAUAUAGUGAAAUUUGCAUGUGUACCAUACUUAACCAUUGAGUUUAUCCGUGGUGGGGAAGUACAGACUAGUGUGGUGUAGAACGCACAUAGUUCAUUUGACACGCAAAUACCGAUGAGAGGGAGGUUUGGAACGCAUCAGUUCAUUCUGAUGCGGAAACCGGAAAUAGAGGCCCAAGUAGGAGCGAGGUAUGGAACGCAAGUAGUUUAGACAUUGACACUCAUUCAUGGUACACGACCGGAAGUGACGCAGCUGGCGUCCUGAUCCGGUGCGUGUAUCAACACAUGGAAGGAGGCAUAUAUAAGGAGCAGGUGUGCUCCGCAUAGAUGCCGCCAGCCUGGAUCGGAGUCUGGUAUGGUCAUUAUCUGUACCCGGAUCAUAGUGGAGGGUAGACCUUAAGCAAGCAGGGGAGUUUGACCUGUGUGGAUUUGUGGCAGUCAGGGAUAUAUUGAGCCUCUCUGCAGUGAAGGAUAGGAAGUGUGAGAAUUAUUAUUGGCUACAUAGUCCCUCACAUGGAGGAAACCUAUCUUUAAAGGUAAUGUUGUAUUGUCACAUUACUUGGUACUUAAUUGUAUAUUAUUAUGGGGUCUUACUGACGAGUGGUCCAUCCAUCUUUAGUGUGGAUUCUGUGGGAGCUAUAACAGUACCUUGGCUAUCAUCAGUGUACACACACGGAGGUAAUUUGAACGUAAAGGCACAUUUGAGUUCAUAUGCAAUUUGAAUUGAUAAAUUAUAGUUCAUCAAUUUAUAUUAUUGUAUUUUCUCAAGUUAAUAGGGGCCAUUGCUGAGGAAGAAAAUAAUUGUAUUUAAUAGCUUAUUUCAUAUCAUAUGGGCACUCUUUGAUGUACUUUGAUAUUCAGGUACUUUUCAAAAUUAUUCUAUUCUCUGUGUCUAAUUGUCUUUGUAUUUGCAUUCUGCUAUCUGGUUUCUUUUGCU